rnacentral:rRNA from 1 species
AUGGCAGAGGAGGCCAAUGGAGUGGUAGAUGGACGAGGCGAGGAAGCCCGCAACCACAAGUCAUGGUCUGAUGUGUGGGCGCAUUUCGAGCGUUUCUUAGGCGCCGAUGGGAGGCAGAGAGCAAGGUGCAAAAAGUGCGGCAUAGAACUAUUGGCUGAAACCAAAAAUGGCACCAGUCGCCUUGGACGGCAUGCCCGAGACACUUGUCCAGGGAAUGGUGGUGCUCCAGAGCAGCAGCAAGGACGCCACAGGAAACGUGCAAGAUCACUACCAAUUCUUCGUGAAUCACCAGGUACCAGUAAGCUUGCCAUGGAGGAAGCUAAUGCAGACCUGGCUAGAAUGCUCGCCUUUCAUGGAUACCAUCCAUCUUUUGUUCAAGACAGAUACUUCCGGAGCUUCGUGCGACGGCUUAACCCUGAUUUUCAGAUACCCUCAUGGGAUGCCAUUCAAGAGAUGUCCAAUGGUAUCCUGGAAAAAGCACGGAGGGAUUUCAGCUCUGAAAUAGAUCGCACUUCUUCAAACCUCAGUUGGGCAAUAGACACAGUUGAAACUGUCGACGGGAUAGCCUUAUAUGUUGCGUGCCACUUUAUAGAUGAUGAAUGGAAUCUUCGUAAGAUGAUCAUGGAUCAGUACGGAGUUGCAACUCGCCACUAUUUCCCCGAAUUAGGUAGCAAUACGUAUGAGUACUGUCUCAAAGAUGGAGAUGACUGCUCGACGGUUGCUGAGUGCAUAGGUUACCUUGAUGAGUUAGCUAAUUGUUUCAGCAUGAUAGUCGGAAAAACCGGUAAUCUGAUGGAUUACUUGGCCUUGGAGAAAGAUUCAGGUGUUGUUCAUAAGUCCACCUUUGUGAACGUAGUGCUUCACUCAAUCGCCCAAUGUCUUUUUGACAAUCUAAAACUAGAAUUCUAUUUGGAUGUAUGCUUCGACAUGUCGAUUGCGGAAACUAGUCAAGAGGUUUAUUCACAGCUUGGCAUGGAUGAGCUUCGACCAUACCAAAACCAGUGGUAUUUAUGCUAUUGUUGUGUGCAAUUUCUUCAUCACAAUAGAGAUGAUGAAGUUUCAGAAUUCGAGAAAUUAUUGAGCAAGCUUUGGGGAGAAAUAUACCGUGCCAUUAAAACUGUCUCUGAUCCCAGUUUUCCAACUUCACAUCUUGGCCUUGUGGAAUUGUUUAAGAUCAGAGACCUUUUGCAGUCUGAACUGACAAGAGCCAGUGGAGAUACAACACCAACUUACGAGUACAGUUGUUUUGACAAGGAUGUUAAGCAUGUUCUUGAACUUGCAAAAGGCGAAGUAGACAGGAGCAUAGAAGAUUCAUACCGUGUAUGGUCCUUACCACUUGUGCUAGACCCCAGAUACAAACUCGGAUACAUAGAAUUCAAGUUCCCUAAGGUGUUUGGCACUGCCGCAGUGGCAGAAAACAAUAUCUCCAAGGUAAAAGAAUUCCUCAGGAAGACAUUUGAUGAUUACGAUGAAGAUGAUGAAACCACUGAUGGAGAUCCAAGUCAUAUCACUACAUUAGAUCAAGCAUGGUAUGAGCAGUACUGUUUAGAGGAUGGCGUGGCAGGGCCACAGGUAGCUGGCACAGAACUUGAUCGUUACCUCCAAGAUCCUCUCGUCCCUCCAACAGACAUUUUUAACAUUCUGAACUGGUGGAAGGUUAACAGCUCAAACUACCCGAAGGUGGCUAGGAUGGCAAGGGAUGCUCUGGCCAUUCCCACAAGCAACAGCCUUUCCUCUGAACAAAUCUCCGUGCUCAAUCUGUUGAUAUAUAAAAAAGCGUUAGUAUGA